GUUGCUCCCAUCUUGCUGGAAGAAAAGGCUGACUCUGCAGACUUCCAGACCUUGGGAAAUCCACAAGGUCACCAACGCUAAGUCAGGAAACAGGAUCCAGAGCUGCUAUUCUUAAAACAUUCCAGUUUCAGAUUGAAGCUGGGGUUCCAGGGAGGAUGCUGUAGCCAGCCAAUCCAGCAGGGAAUGUGGAGAGAUCAGGGUGCUGGGAUCCAGCUUAAAGAAAUAUCGGAUAUGCAUGAGAGAGCAAUGGAGCAAAGUUUUGGAGAAGUUUGGAGGGAACAGGAUGAAGAGAAAGAAAGCCUUUACUAGGAAAAGCUCUAAUCCAAUUUCUGGAAGAAAAGAGAAAGGAAGAAGGAAAAGGAGCUAGAAGUUAUUAAGUGCCUUCUAUGUCUUAGACACUUUACUAAUAUCCCAUUUGAUAAAAUUACAAUAGUCAAAAUAAAAUACUUGGGGUUCUAUCUGCCAAGACAAAUCCAAGAACUACCACUUGAACACAGUUA